rnacentral:lncRNA from 1 species
GGGGCGUGGGGACAGCGGCCGCGGCGCGGCGGAGGCCGGCGGGGUAAGAGAGGUAGAGGAUGGAGCCAUGGGCGAGGGGGAGGGAGGAGAGGCGGACGGAGGGGUCGAGGGCAGGGGUCUGGGCCUUGGAGGGGAGUAGGAGAUUGGGGUCGAGGGAGAGGGUUUGGGCAGCGGCGGGGACGCCGAGCUGGGACUCGAUGAGCGAGCGAAUGGUGGCGACGGUGGCGGCGGAGGGGUCCGGCACGGUGACGCGCUCCAGGCCGUCACGGCUGCGGAUCCGAAGGAUCAUCUUCCUCUGCUUUCUG